rnacentral:rRNA from 1 species
AGUGAACGCUGGCGGUAGGCCUAACACAUGCAAGUCGAACGGCAGCACAGUAAGAGCUUGCUCUUACGGGUGGCGAGUGGCGGACGGGUGAGGAAUACAUCGGAAUCUACUUUUUCGUGGGGGAUAACGUAGGGAAACUUACGCUAAUACCGCAUACGACCUACGGGUGAAAGCAGGGGAUCUUCGGACCUUGCGCGAUUGAAUGAGCCGAUGUCGGAUUAGCUAGUUGGCGGGGUAAAGGCCCACCAAGGCGACGAUCCGUAGCUGGUCUGAGAGGAUGAUCAGCCACACUGGAACUGAGACACGGUCCAGACUCCUACGGGACGCGGCAGUGGGGAAUAUUGGACAAUGGGCGCAAGCCUGAUCCAGCCAUACCGCGUGGGUGAAGAAGGCCUUCGGGUUGUAAAGCCCUUUUGUUGGGAAAGAAAAGCAGCAGGUUAAUACCCCGCUGUUCUGACGGUACCCAAAGAAUAAGCACCGGCUAACUUCGUG